AGGACGAACGCUGGCGGCGUGCUUAACGACGAUGCAAGUCGAACGAUUCCGGGUCUUCGGGCCCGGUUUAGUGGCGAACGGGUGAGUAACACGUGGGCAACCUGCCCUCCACUCUGGGAUAACUCCGGGAAACCGGGGCUAAUACUGGAUACGACCUUCGGCCGCAUGGCUGGGGGUGGAAAGUUUUUCGGUGGAGGAUGGGCCCGCGGCCUAUCAGCUUGUUGGUGGGGUGAUGGCCUACCAAGGCGGUGACGGGUAGCCGGCCUGAGAGGGCGACCGGCCACACUGGGACUGAGACACGGCCCAGACUCCUGCGGGAGGCAGCAGUGGGGAAUAUUGCACAAUGGGCGAAAGCCUGAUGCAGCGACGCCGCGUGAGGGAUGGACGGCCUUCGGGUUGUAAACCGUCUUUCAGCAGGGACCAAGCGUGAGUGAGUGUACCUGCAGAAGAAGCACCGGCUAACUACGCGCCAGCAGCCGC
rnacentral:rRNA from 1 species